rnacentral:rRNA from 1 species
UAAGGAAUAUUGGACAAUGCCCGCAAGGGUGAUCCAGCCAUGCCGCGUGCAGGAAGAAGGCCCUAUGGGUCGUAAACUGCUUUUACACCGGAGAAAACCCCCCUACGUGUAGGGGGCUGAUAGUAUGGUGAGAAUAAGCAUCGGCUAACUUC